rnacentral:rRNA from 1 species
GAAAUUCGAGCUAAUACCGCAUAAGUUCUGCAACGUUGAAAAGAGCAGAAGAAAGAUGGCCUCUGUAUAUGCUAUCGCUACUGGAUGAGCCUGCGCAGCAUUAGCUUGUUGGUGGGGUAAAGGCCUACCAAGGCUGCGAUGCUUAGCGGGUCUGAGAGGAUGAUCCGUCACACUGGAACUGAGACACGGUCCAGACUCCUACGGGAGGCAGCAGUAGGGAAUAUUGCGCAAUGGGCGAAAGCCUGACGCAGCAAUGCCGCGUGUGUGAGGAAGGCCCUCGGGUUGUAAAGCACUGUCAGAGUGGAAAAACGGCUUAGGAGCUAAUAUCUCCUAGGAUUGAUGGUACACUCAAAGGAAGCACCGGCUAACUUCGUGCCAGCAGCCGCGGUAAUACGAAGGGUGCAAGCGUUGUUCGGAUUUAUUGGGCGUAAAGCGCGCGCAGGCGGGUAAUUAAGUCAGGUGUGAAAUCUCGGAGCUCAACUCCGAAACUGCGCCUGAAACUGAUCACCUAGAAUCUCGGAGAGGGAAGGGGAAUUUCACAUGUAGGGGUAAAAUCCGUAGAGAUGUGAAGGA